UACGUAGGGGGCUAGCGUUGUCCGGAUUUAUUGGGCGUAAAGAGCGUGUAGGCGGCCAGGUAGGUCCGCUGUGAAAACUCGAGGCUUAACCUCGAGAUGUCGGCGGAAACCAUCUGGCUAGAGUCCGGAAGAGGAGAGUGGAAUUCCUGGUGUAGCGGUGAAAUGCGCAGAUAUCAGGAAGAACACCCGUGGCGAAGGCGGCUCUCUGGGACGGUACUGACGCUGAGACGCGAAAGCGUGGGGAGCGAACAGG
rnacentral:rRNA from 1 species